rnacentral:rRNA from 1 species
ACGAACGCUGGCGGCGUGCUUAACACAUGCAAGUCGAACGGAAAGGCCCUGCUUUUGUGGGGUGCUCGAGUGGCGAACGGGUGAGUAACACGUGAGUAACCUGCCCUUGACUUUGGGAUAACUUCAGGAAACUGGGGCUAAUACCGGAUAGGAGCUCCUGCUGCAUGGUGGGGGUUGGAAAGUUUCGGCGGUUGGGGAUGGACUCUCGGCUUGUCAGCUUGUUGGUGGGGUAGUGGCUUACCAAGGCUUUGACGGGUAGCCGGCCUGAGAGGGUGACCGGCCACAUUGGGACUGAGAUACGGCCCAGACUCCUACGGGAGGCAGCAGUGGGGAAUAUUGCACAAUGGGCGGAAGCCUGAUGCAGCAACGCCGCGUGCGGGAUGACGGCCUUCGGGUUGUAAACCGCUUUCGCCUGUGACGAAGCGUGAGUGACGGUAAUGGGUAAAGAAGCACCGGCUAACUACGUG